UGAGGAAUAUUGGGUCAAUGGGCGAGAGCCUGAACCAGCCAAGUAGCGUGCAGGACGACGGCCCUAUGGGUUGUAAACUGCUUUUAUACGGGAAUAAAGUGAUGCCUGCGGGCGUUAUUGCAUGUACCGUACGAAUAAGGACCGGCUAAUUCCGUGCCAGCAGCCGCGGUAAUACGGAAGGUCCGGGCGUUAUCCGGAUUUAUUGGGUUUAAAGGGAGCGUAGGCUGUCCUUUAAGCGUGUUGUGAAAUGUAGGCGCUCAACGCCUGCACUGCAGCGCGAACUGAAGGACUUGAGUGUGCACGACGCUGGCGGAAUUCGUGGUGUAGCGGUGAAAUGCUUAGAUAUC
rnacentral:rRNA from 1 species